ensembl:lncRNA
CCCGCCUGCAGCCCCAACGGGCAGACACUGGGCGGCCCCCCAGGUGUCCUUCGGUCCUUUCCGAUCUGACUCGGUCAAAGAGAAACACAGCAGACCGCGGAGAAAGUGGUGAAAGAGACUUUAUUCCGUGAAUACUGACAGCAGGGGACAGAGCUGACCAGCUCCAUUCCGGAAUGGGCGAGGGGAGCCGGGUGUUUUAAAGGGAGGAUGAGAGGGAGGGGGCUCAGAAGAGGUAGCAGUGACACACCACAGAGUUGGUCAGUAGAGAGGCAGGCCAGCCGUGUUUGUCAGUGGGCAGUUACUGAAGUUAGGUUGGGUCCUCGCACAGAAAGUGGGAGACAGAGGCCCUAUCCUUCUUGCUUACACUUCAAAGGAAUGGCUCCCAGCCCAAAGAGAGACCCUUUGGACUAAGAGAAAACCAACUUCACAAUUGCAAGCCCUUUUAAAUGAAUGCUCUAACAAAGGGCAGUCAAGCGACCUUCCUGGCGGUUCAGUGGUUAAGACUCCGAGCGCCCAAUGCGGGGGCCGGCGGGGGCACGGGUUACCCUGGCCAGGGAACUGAAAUGCAGCAUAGCGCGGACAAAAAAAGAAAGAAAGAAAAAGUAUGACAGGGGCCUGUGUUAGGUGUUGGACUUACUCAGAGAGGACGUUUAAAAAUUGUUUUUAAUUGAAAUAUAGUUGUUUACAACGCUGUGUUAGUUUCAGGUGUAAGGCAAAAUGUUUAGACGUCAUAGUUUAGUUAGAGAAAGGGGUGAGGAGGUGGGAGAAAACUGACGAUAGGCACCGUAGGCAAAUUGAUUAGUACGUUAGAUGCUAACAGCUAUGAAGAAAUUUAAAAAACGAGGAAGGAAAGGAGAUGGGGAACUGCUGUAAGGAGGCAGGUUGCUGUGUUGAUUUCUGUAGUCAGGGGAGGCUCCCUGGAGAAGGUGACAAUGUGAGCAGACUGGAGGGAGGAGGGGGAUGGGCAUAGGGCUGUCUGGGAAGAGCAUCCCUAGCAAAAGGUCAGUGAGAGCAGUGUCUGGAGAACAGCAAGAAGGUCCUGAGUACAGAACAAAGUUUACGAAUGGCACCGAGACUGAGAGAGGUGACUGCGUGGGGACAAGAACUGAGAGAGGGUCGUGUAGACCUUUGUAAGGGUUCAAGUCUGAGUGAACCAGAAGUUUCCAGAAGAGAGGCAGCUUCAUCUAAACCCUCCACACCCCACCCCCACCCCUCUUCCACAACUCCCCUAGCAAAGGAGAGAACAUCAUUCUGGCUGGAAAGGUGGCCGAGCGAAAGCAGGGAGAUCCAUAGGAAACCUGCAGAAUGCAGGCAAGAUGAUACUGGCUUUGAAGGGUGGCACAACGUGCCACAGCAAAUAAUACCAUUUUGACCAAAGGAGUAGUUUGAACUGACGGCACUUAAAGAGCACCAGGUGGCUGGCUAGGCGUUUGGCAGCCGGCUCCCCGGUGCCCCUCUCCUCGACCCGGCCUCCCGCACCCCACGCGCCCACCAUCCAUUUCUCAACGCCUCUCCCCUAGCCCUCCUCCCCGCUUUCAGGCCGCGGUCCCCACUUGUAGAAAGAGGGAAGGCGGAGAGGACACGAGGCAUCUUGAAACUCGGCGCCCGGAUGCCGGCCACCACCACGCCCGGGCCGCAGCCACCCCGCAGGAUUGCCGGGUCCUCGCACCCUCACCCGGCGCCCUGGCGGUGAGCGCACCGGUCUCUUCAAAGGGGCUUCCGACCAGCCCGGUCAGUCUCACCUCGGGCGUCCCAGUGAGGUGUUGCGGCAUUUCCGGAAAAAGUCCCCCGACCUGAAGCCUCCACCUUCACUGCCUCCCACCACGUGGCCUAUUUCGAAGCUUCUGCCAAACUGCGCCUCAACGUGGAUGAGGCCUUCGAGCAGCUGGUGCGGGCCGACGGGAGGAGAAGGGGAAGACAGAGGAUGAGAUGGUUGGAUGGCAUCACCGGCUCAAUGGACAUGAGUUUGAGUAGGCUCCAGGAGUUGGUGAUAGACAGGGAAGCCUGGCGUGCUGCAGUCCAUGGGAUGGCAAAGAGUCUGUCACUACUGAGCGCCUGAACUGAACUGAACUGCCUCUCAAACUGGAGACUGUGUUUCUGCUUUGUCUUCCUCUCCUGGCAAACUCCUGUGGUCACCCUCACCACCACCACCCCCACCCUCCGGCCCUGUUGGUCUCAACCCUUCUAAUCGUCCCACUGCUAAUAUGCGCGGACCUGCAGUCUUUGGAGUCUCCCUGGGCCUAAGGGGCUGUGCCACUGCAGUCUGACCAGUGCCCUUCCAGAAAGGUCCGUUGCUUUGUGGAUGCAGAGACCCCAGCCUUGAAUGAUACCAUCUGUAAAGACCAGCAGUUGGGGCCAAAAGAAAGAAACUUGGGCCUUUGUUGGAUCUAUUCCCGAAGGGAUGUGGAGGAAGCCUCGCUGCAACCCGAAGUCAUGGUGGGCAGGAGGGCAAAGGGGCACAUCAGCUUCCAUGGGAGGUGAGGCUCUUAGGAGAGGAACAUGCAAGCCUGGAAAAGUGAAGAAAUGUACGGUGACUGAUUUGGGGGCAUAUCAAGCGCAUAGGAGCCAGUUUCAAAGGAGUCCCACUGCCAAAUCAGGACGCAAGUGAUAGAAGACUCUUAAGAGUCCCUUAGACUGCGAGAUCAAACGAGUCGAUCCUAAAUGAAAUCGACCCUGAAUAUUCGUUGGAGAGACUGAUGCUGAAGCUUCAAUACUUUGGCCACCUGAUUCGAACAGCUGACUCAUUGGAAAAGACCCUGAUGCUGGUAAAGACUGAAGGCAGGAGGAAAAGGGGUGACAUACAGGACGAUGAUGAGAUGGUUGGAUUGCACCACCGACUCAAUGAGCAAGGAGUUUGAACAACUCUGAGAAACAGUGAAGGACAGGUAAGCCUGGUUUGCUGCAGUCUAAGUGGUGGCAAAGUCGGGCAUGACUGAAACAAUAAAUGACUUUAUAAAUACU